UGGGGAAUAUUGCACAAUGGGCGCAAGCCUGAUGCAGCCAUGCCGCGUGUGUGAAGAAGGCCUUCGGGUUGUAAAGCACUUUCAGCGAGGAGGAAGGUGGUGAGCUUAAUACGCUCAUCAAUUGACGUUACUCGCAGAAGAAGCACCGGCUAACUCCGUGCCAGCAGCCGUGGUAAUACGGAGGGUGCAAGCGUUAAUCGGAAUUACUGGGCGUAAAGCGCACGCAGGCGGUUUGUUAAGUCAGAUGUGAAAUCCCCGGGCUCAACCUGGGAACUGCAUUUGAAACUGGCAAGCUAGAGUCUCGUAGAGGGGGGUAGAAUUCCAGGUGUAGCGGUGAAAUGCGUAGAGAUCUGGAGGAAUACCGGUGGCGAAGGCGGCCCCCUGGACGAAGACUGACGCUCAGGUGCGAAAGCGUGGGGCAGCAAACAGGAUUAGAUACCCCUGGUAGUCCAGCGCUGUAAAACGAUGUCGAUUUGGAGGUUGUGCCCUUGAGGCGUGGCUUCCGGAGCUAACGCGUUAAAUCGACCGCCUGGGGAGUACGGCCGCAAGGUUAAAACCAAAUGAAUUGACGGGGUCAUAGCUG
rnacentral:rRNA from 1 species